GAGGAUUCUUCUCAAAGCUUGCUUUUCUUGCUUGAAUCUUGAGGAAGAAUGUUUGGAUUAUUUGAUUGAAGAUGUACGGAGUUCUUGAGUCAUUUGUACAACUUCAUGGUAGUUGUAAAAGAAGUGGAUUUGUAUUUGUAUUCAUUUAUUUGUAGCUUCGUGGCAGAAGCAUUGGCAUGUAUUAUUGUUGUUGUAUUCAUUGAGAGAGAGAACGUGUAUUAUCGUAUUUCUGUUACUCAAGUGUAAUAGAUAUUUGUAUAUGUAGAAAAAAAAAUAUGGACCUAAA